rnacentral:tRNA from 1 species
UUUGUAGCUCAGCUGGAUAGAGCAACCGCCUUCUAAGCGGUAGGUCAGGGGUUCGAGUCCCUUCAAG